UUCAAGUCAGUGCACUAUCAGAGUGCAAUCCGGUAAAUCGUUGGGGUUCGUUAUAAGAGAGAAAUCGAGGUUGAUCCUGCUAAAAGAAAAAAAAAAAAAAAAACGACAACAAAAUGCCUGAACCGAGAAAAAGAAAAGAGAGGUUCGUGGUUUCUUAGAAAGAUUGAACUACCUGUCAUGGUUCACAUUUCAUCUAAUAGCCAUGUAUGAACCCAUAUUCA
rnacentral:lncRNA from 1 species